UGUAUACCAGCCCAAAUGAAGCCCAGGGGCUACUACCAUCUCCGCUUCCUCCACCGCCCGUGAAGGCAAAGGCGGCGACAGAGUGGAGAAACCGCGCCGGCGCGUCAGCGCCAUCCACCUCCGGCGACAUCCGCGGCCUCCGGCAGAGCUCGAGGCAUCCAGAAGUCCCACCAUGCUUGGACCCGGUAUGUAACUGCAAGAUGCUUCAAACAAAAUUAUGAGGUUGAGCAGGCGUGAGCUCCAGAGAGUGUUGCUGAAGCAGAUAGAGUAACUGAUCACCACCGAUGGCCAGGAAUCAGGAUUUUUUUCAGUAUUUUUUUUUGUAAAUUGUUUCUGUUAUGUUCUCUACUUCUCUGUAUAUCCAUUUUACAGCUUUUGUAACAAAUCUGGGCCUUUCGCAACAAGAAUAAAUGUCUGAUGAACCGCUGCUAAUACUACGACUUUGCAUGUUGACUGCA